GGAGAAGGACAACAAUGAAGAUGA
rnacentral:siRNA from 1 species